rnacentral:rRNA from 1 species
GCGCGAAAGCGUGAUGGGGUUAUCCCGAGUGCCGUCCGAUGAGGAUGGCUUUUCCUCGGUGUAAGGAUCCGAGGGAAUAAAGGGGGGGCAAGACUGGUGUCAGCCGCCGCGGUAAUACCAGCUCCCUGAGUGGUAAGGACGAUUAUUUGGCCUAAAGCGUCCGUAGCCGGCUUAUCAAGUCUCUUGUUAAAUCCAAUGAUUCAAUCAUUGACCCGCAAGAGAUACUGUUAUGCUAGAGGACGGAGAGGUCGACGGUAGUCCAGGGGUAGGGGUGAAAUCCUAUAAUCCUUGGAGGACCACCAGUGGCGAAGGCGGUCGACUAGAACGUGCCUGACGGUGAGGGACGAAAGCUGGGGGAGCGAACCGGAUUAGAUACCCGGGUAGUCCCAGCUGUAAACGAUGCGGGCUAGGUGUUGGGGUAGCUACGAGCUACUCCAGUGCCGCAGAGAAGUUGUUAAGCCCGCCGCCUGGGGAGUACGGGCGCGAAAGCGCGCGAAAGCGCGCGAAAGCGCGCGAAAGC